rnacentral:rRNA from 1 species
GACGAACCGUGCGAACGUUGUUCGGAAUCACUGGGCUUAAAGGGCGCGUAGGCGGCUUGCCAAGUCGGGGGUGAAAUCCGGCAGCUUAACUGUCGAAGUGCCUUCGAUACUGGCAAGCUCGAGGGAGGUAGGGGUCUGUGGAACUGCUGGUGGAGCGGUGAAAUGCGUUGAUAUCAGCAGGAACGCCGGUGGCGAAAGCGGGUCUCUGGGCCGAAAUUGACGCUGAGGUACGAAAGCGUGGGUAGCGAACAGG